rnacentral:rRNA from 1 species
AUUGAACGCUGGCGGAAUGCUUUACACAUGCAAGUCGAACGGCAGCACGGGGGCAACCCUGGUGGCGAGUGGCGAACGGGUGAGUAAUACAUCGGAACGUGCCCAGUCGUGGGGGAUAACGUAGCGAAAGCUACGCUAAUACCGCAUACGAUCUACGGAUGAAAGCGGGGGAUCGCAAGACCUCGCGCGAUUGGAGCGGCCGAUGGCAGAUUAGGUAGUUGGUGAGGUAAAGGCUCACCAAGCCGACGAUCUGUAGCUGGUCUGAGAGGACGACCAGCCACACUGGGACUGAGACACGGCCCAGACUCCUACGGGAGGCAGCAGUGGGGAAUUUUGGACAAUGGGCGCAAGCCUGAUCCAGCCAUUCCGCGUGCAGGAUGAAGGCCCUCGGGUUGUAAACUGCUUUUGUACGGAACGAAACGGCUCUCUCUAAUACAGGGGGCUAAUGACGGUACCGUAAGAGUAAGCACCGGCUAACUACGUGCCAGCAGCCGCGGUAA